UGCCAACCAUCGAGACUCUCCAAACUUAUCCUAAAGAAACCUUAGAUUCACCCAUCGAAGGUCUUUGGAUCAGGUGCACCCCAACUAAGAUGAUAGCAACCUGCAUCGAAUGAUCUUCAGACAUCAACAUCGUAAGGUUCAGGGCAUCAUCCGAUGACCCCGAUUUCAUCUAAAAAUCCUUGAUGAGAUUCAAGGUGAAAGAAGUUAGCUUAGCACCGACGG
rnacentral:lncRNA from 1 species